CUAUAGUUUACCGGAACAUCAGCCUAAAAUGUGAUUCAAUCGGGUCAAACUGAAAGUUGGGAGUUUGGUGUCUUGUUCAAUUCAUCAUGGAUAACCCUCCAAAACGUCAAAGAGAACGAACAGUCACAGAUAUUGCACAAAAAAGAAGAAAUAGUACAUGCGAGGUUACACAGCAUAGAAAAAGACGAAUGUGUGUAUUUAUGCUGAGAAGUAGCGAGAUGGAAAUUGGAAUGAUUUCAACAAAGCCAACUUCACGAAGACGUUGCCAAUCUGAACUAAUAAAAACUUUUAAACUGGCACACAGGAAAUAUAUUGAGUCAUUCCAUGCCAGUAAGUUCCAGUCCACUGGUUUACCAUGCAAAAUGUUUGUUGGUAGCAGUUGAUUUUAAUUUGCAUACAAAUCGAGAACCACUAAAAGGAGCUGACACAAACAUUAGAUAUAAAAAAAAAUACUCAAAAAGAUCGGAAUAUUGUCAGCAGUACCUUUAAUCUGGGGCAGUCAUACCCAGACCCAGCUGAUCCAACGAGAUAUUGUGAAGAGACAGACCAAAAAAUUUUAAGAAUGUUACAGAAUAUAAUAUAUUCUAACCAAAAUUAAAUACACAAUAUAAAACAGAAAUAUGUUUAAUAGCAUCAAUGUUUAUUUAAACAUGCAUUAUGCAAGAAGUAAAUGUGUCUAUUGCAGGUCUUUCUUUAGGUCUGAAAUGUUAUAUAAACUACAUGUAUUAAUUAGACAUUUAUUAUAAUCAACUCUUGAUGUCAUCUAUGGUGUCCGAUUUUCAUUGGAUUUGAAUCUGAUCUGCCGUUCAUUAUCUGUUGAUUAAACGCAACAAUGGAUAAUAAAGACUUUAUUAUCAUGACAGCAGUAACAAUGACAAUUGAGGCUACAGUCAUUUUCAUAAUAAGGUUUUCUCAGCUUGUAGUGAAGCAAUUUAGCUGAAAUUCUCAGCAUAUUCCAUAUCAUCUAGUUUUAACUAUUACAGUAAGAACUGCCAGCUCUUUAACUAAUCUUCCAUAAUGUAUCUUUAACUAUUAUAAAAGAAUGUUUUGUUUGAUAAUUUGGGUAGGUCUUUUGCAGACUAUAUAGUUUGAUAUUACUUGUCUGAUUAUUUCUUCCAAGUCGACCUUGCCUCUAAAACUGACGGUAUACAUCAUGGCGAAACCUUUUCUGUUCGUCGUCAUAUAGCACCCUAAUAAAUGUCAUCUCUUGUUUGUAAUGCGAUCUAAACCGCCUCAUCUAAACAAUACUGAUCAAUUUUCCUGAAAAUAAAAUGUUAAAAUAUGU